UCAUCGGCUUUGGUGUUUCAGUAGAGACAGAGACUGAGAGCGAAGAGUGGAGAGCAGGCCUUCAAUUUGAAGCGUGAUUGCAGUGAGAGUGGGGAUGACAGGGUAGAGGAGAGAUACUGUUCAUCUAACAGUGAUUUGGCUCCAGGUGGAGUGACGCCUUUGCCCUCGCUUUUCUCCUACAAUUUCACCUUCGUAUUGGUGUCUGAAAUGAUGUCAGCCGGGCAUAUGCGUCUUUAGGCAGUAGAAGACGCCCCAUUCUUCCGUGAUCUUCUCAUUCGAUUGCUGCCAGAACAAUCCAGAGAUCAAUUAUCAAGAACGAUUGAGAGAGAGAGAGAGAGAGAGAGAAAUAGGGUUUGUUUCUUUGCUUUGCACGAAGAGAUAGAGAGAUCCAAGGGAAAUUCUCACCUCAUCAUCUCAGCACGAGGUCGAUUACUCUUUAUCACGAGAGUGAUUGUAAAGGUUUUUAUUUGGUGGUUUGUAACAAAUCUCUUCUUAGCUUUCAUCACCAACCAUAAAAACUUGGGUUCGUCAUCAGCAAGACUGCUUCGCCUGAAGAUUAGAAGAAAGCCACCAUUAAGGACCAUCAGGAUAAGGGCGGAGCUCCACGAAGAGAAUUGGCGUUUGAUCAUCUCGGCACGAGGUAAUUCAGCUUCCUCGAAGAGAUACAAAGCUCAAGCUUUCUGGACAUGACGACUUUCUUCAUUUUAAGAGAAUUAAGGUUGGGUACCUGCAUAUGAGGAUUCUUGGCAACAUCAGCUCCUCAAAUUUGUUAGAUCAUGCCAAGCGAUUUGUAUAAUCUCAAGUCCAGGACAUAAGUAGCAGAACCUGUACAAGGUUUAGGAUGGUAGCGUUGGCAGACAUUCAUUGAUUGUAGGGUUUGAUAUAUACAGAAAGUUUAUGUUGCAUUUCAUGAUGAAUGCUGGGGAGUUCCAUCAAUUGUUUGAGCUGCGUGCUCUGUCUGGGAUGUUGAUGGACCACAAUUGGACUGAAAUUGGGAAAAGAAGGGAGCUGCUCAGGGAAGCCUUUUCGGCAUUUGAUCCAAACACAGUUGCCAAAUGGGGGAGGAAGAGAUUGAAGAGAUAAACUGCUGUUAUAGGAGUUAGUGGAAAAGUUGUGGACAGUGGUCUGAAUGAUCAUAUCUUCAUAUACUGUUCCAAUCAUGGUGGUCUGGAGUACUGGGUGAGUAGCUUUUCAGUAGCAACUUACACAAAAUGAUUUGUCCUGCUUUGGUUAUUGUGUAGGGGUCAAAUUGGUUGAUUGUUUAUGCCUAUUUGAGUUGAGCUAAUAGUAGCAACUUACACAAAAUGAUUUGCUGCAUUCCUGGUGAAUGAAAGUAGUUUGGGUUUAAGUUUCGAUUUGAAUAGAAAUGAGAGUGAUGAUGGUUUUGCUAUCAAAAUUGAUUAAAUCAGAAAAGGGUAGUUCCCAGUAGUAGAGGUUGUUGAACUCUUUUUCUCAAUGACUGAUCUGGUUUUGUUUAUAUCCGCUUUCUGGAAUUGUUAUUACUGUGGUACAGCACAAAAGAAAUUCAAAUUUAAGCUUAAUCAGAUGCUGUAUUGAUAUGAUGCUUUUGCCCUCAUUUGAGAUUUUUUUGCGGUUCUGCCACUGAGCUAUACUAGGGGCUUCCAUCAGUUUCUUCUUUCGUUUACGGCCUUCUGUUGGUUUCUCUCUUCCUCCCUUCUGCCCUGGUUUAUUAAGCUAUCGCCAUCACUCAGUAUGACAUCGAAGAAGUACAGCAACACUUGCAACCACAGAUUUUCGCAGCAGAAGAUAGUUUCUCUGUACGAGAGGUUCUGUCAGCUCAAUCGCAGUGGCGGAGGUUUCAUCUUCGCCGACGAGUUUUUUGUCCGUACCGGAAUUCACAGUCAAUCCUCUCUCAGUUUUGCAUUUCUCAGUUUUGGCUGGUUGGACGUAGAUACUGGGGGAGAUAUGGAGCAAGACCACACUUGCUCUUAGGAGAUGCUUCUGUAUCAACACCCAAUUUCCUUUUCUCAUCAGAGAGAUUUGAUCAAACAACAAAGCUACUUAGUUUUGGGGUGAAUUCAGAAAGAUAUUCAAGGGAGGAUUGAGAAAGAACAAGCGGUUCUUUGCUUUGCUCAGCUCACUGGCAUUGAUGCAGAGAGGGAAACUCUAUGUUAGAUAUUAUGUGGCGAUGAAGGGGUUCUCUGCUUUGCUUAUCAGCAUUGGUAAGCACUUAUUGGGUAUCUGAUUGGUUAUUUUGCAAUGUGGUAUGAAAGUGAAAUUUUUCUGUAUAAUUCCAUUCUUCUUGCUUUCUUAUCGGUUUUUGUGGGUGAGUGAGUGUAAUAGAUUUGGUUACUUAAUUGGAUGAAUAGACAUUUCUAUAAGUUCAAAACUGUGGCUAUGGUUAGAAUAUGUAAUAUAUAUAUUGAGUGAUGAAACAAUCUUUAUUCUCUGAAGCAACAUUUCUCCCAUGUUGUGAGAGUCAUGGAUAAAUGUUGCUUCAGAGAAUAAAGAUGGUUUUUCCUUUUCACAGAGAUGAAGGAGCCGGUGAUAGUUUUUCUUGGAGAAAUUGAGCUUAUUUGAACAAAUAGGAAUAUCCGAUUGAGCUGGCACCCAUUUGAUCAAAUUGGGGGAUUUGAUUGAGCAAUCAGAGAUCUUUGAAGGAUUGAGCUCUGGUGUGAUUGUGGAAUCCCUGAAGGUGGUUAGCUUGCAAGGAUUUGCCUCAAUUUUGGAGCGUAACCUCUGCAGAAUUGUGAGUCAAAUUUUGACUAUUUACUGAUUAUAGUUGAAUUUUGGUUGAGACUAGAUGUGGUUAGAUGAAUCUCUUCAAUAUGUUUAUCAAUUCAGUGAAGCAUCAUCUUGCUUUUAAUAGUUCUGUUAUUCAAAUACUCAUGUCAUUCAUUCAUCAAAAUUUUUUUAUCAUUAUUUUUAAAUUUUUUUUCUCUAAAUAGAGAUUUAGAGACAAACCUUCAAGGGCUGAAGCAAGAUCGCAAACCUGUUGUGUUUCAUUUUCUCUAUUUAGACCUUUGGGGUGUAUUAGAACACAGAAGGUCCUAAAAUUCUUGAGUUUAGUUAUGGUCUAUAUUCAGUAUGCAGAUUGGUUUAGAUGGAUUUAGUUGUUUUGUACCACAGAGGUAGUAAGUGUGUGUUUGGGAAUGUCUCUGAAAUGAAAGUGCUUUUGGGUUUAAUGUCAAAUGAAUUUGGAAUAUGUUAUCUGCAUUGUUUUGCUCGCUUUGAACAUUAUCAUGAUAGAGUGGUUUAAUGUCAAAUGAAUUUGGAGCAAGUUGUUCACAGUGACAAAUUCCGCAGCGAAGCGCGGAUAACAUUUCUAGUAAAGAAGAAAGAGAAUGGUACUGUUGAAUGAACAGUGCAUAAGUGCAUUUCUAUUUUAACCCCUGCUGCCUGUGCGUUAAUGUACUCAAUUAUCCCUGCCGCCUCUUUCAUUGUUUUGAACGGUCGAACAAAGUGAGGAGACGGAGCUGAACGAGAAAGGAAGACAGCGCGCGCAAAGUUGGUCUGAGAUCUGAACGAAUUGUAAAGGAUUGGUCUUAAGGGAAACAAAGUUGGUUUUCCUUCUAACUAAGGGUGGGCAACAAAUUGGAGUAUCAGAACCUGAAAUUGAACACAAAGCCCUAUCAGAACAGACACAUUGGGUUUAUAGUAUGCAGGUUCAAUGUGGGAUGAACUCAAGAAUAUUAGGCAAGCCAUAGGAUUUCUGGUCAUACAUAAAAACCCCAAAAAGACACUUGAUGAGAUAAGCCAUGACCUGUGCACAGUAAGUAAUGUGUAUGCAAGGAAGAACCGAAGAAGUAAAUACUUUCAAAUCCAAUAACCUCCUCAUCAACCAAGCUAUUUAUGGAAGGAGGUGGAGACUGAGUUGGGGACUAGGCUGAUAUACUUGAAGAUGAGGUGCAGUGACAUUGGUUCUGAGUGGGGAAAGGUACUGACAUAAACCUUGGAGAUGCUUACUUUAUAUAUAUAUAUAAAAUAUUUUAUACUCUUAUUUAGCACAUUUACAUGUUGCCUGUCAUCAAUUGCAAAUCUUUUUUCUGACUUCUUCAUAUGACUUAUGUCCUGAUUUUUGCGAAGGCAUUAAUAUAAACCUUAGAGACAGUGGCGGAUCCAGGAAUCAGACCUUGGGAGGGCUUGGAUUCUUAACAAUUUUUUUUUUUUGUGCUUGCAUUGGAAUACACCAAUUCAACCAAUUUGCAAUACAUAUCCAAGGAGCUUUUAGGGAAGAAGAAGAAGAUUAAAACUCUAGAAGGCUGGAAUUGAAGACUUUUUUAGUUUUUGAAAGAAGAAGACUAGCGAUUAAAACUGUAGAAGAGGAGAGAUGUCUGCGUCGACCUCAGACCUAGGCGGCUCCAAAUCUACGAACUGCCAAGUCGAAGUCGAAGUCAUUCCAUCGGGUGGGCUUGAGAAAGCGAAACAUCCAUUAAAAAAAAAAAAAGGAACCAUCUGCAUUGUUUUCUUAUUUAGCCCAGAAAGUUCGGUAGGGCUUGAGCCCUACCAAAACCUGUCUAGAUCCGCCCCUGCUUAGAGAUGCUUACUGUAGUAGUUUGUUUAAUCCUGCAUUGCAGGGACAGUGGCCUAUGAAUCAGUGCAUAUAUAUAUAUGCUUACCAACUAAUAUGAUUUUGUGUAUUGAUUGCAGGUCAGUGUUCUUGGAACUUCUAGACUAUAUUAACUUCCAGGUCGUUUGGUGGUUUACAAUUGGGAAUUGUGCAUGAUAGACUUGGUUUUCCUUAUUCCUCUAUCUGGGUUUUGUUAAGAAUUGGAGAUACAGAGCUGGUUGCUAAUUGACCUUCGAUUAGAAUCCAGGCAACAAAAUAGUGUUUCUUAAUAUUCUUUGCUGCAUAAUAUGUAAUUUGGUCAGUUUUCCUAUUUUUUGCUUACUUUCUUGGUUCAGACUUACAAAUUUUUUUCACAAUUUUGUGUUUUGCAUAAUAUCUAAAUACUUGUUACCAUCAUAUCUCUGAUGGACGUCCAGCAAGAGGAGUAUGAUCUCACUGUUAAGAAUACGAUUUGAUCUUUUCUUGAUAUUGUUAGACACUAGAAAUAUAUACUUCUGACGUACUAAGUUUGAAAUUUUUGUUGCUUCAAUUUACCUAAUGAAAUUGUUUAUGAUGUGAUCUUUAGGGAGAAGUGUCAGCAGGAUUAGCACUGCUGCAGCAAGUGAAGAGUUGAUCACCCCACCUGUUCAUAUUGAUCACACUAAGCAUCUAAUUAAUGGCCAAUUUGUUGAUUCUGCAUCAAGUAAUAAUCUUUUUUCACUGAAAGAGUUGACAUUCUAUCCA